rnacentral:rRNA from 1 species
GGCCAGACUCCUACGGGAGGCAGCAGUGGGGAAUAUUGCACAAUGGGGGAAACCCUGAUGCAGCGACGCCGCGUGAGUGAAGAAGUAUUUCGGUAUGUAAAGCUCUAUCAGCAGGGAAGAAAAUGACGGUACCUGACUAAGAAGCCCCGGCUAACUACGUGCCAGCAGCCGCGGUAAUACGUAGGGGGCAAGCGUUAUCCGGAUUUACUGGGUGUAAAGGGAGCGUAGACGGCAUGGCAAGUCAGAUGUGAAAGCCCGGGGCUCAACCCCGGGACUGCAUUUGAAACUGUCAGGCUGGAGUGCAGGAGAGGUAAGUGGAAUUCCUAGUGUAGCGGUGAAAUGCGUAGAUAUUAGGAGGAACACCAGUGGCGAAGGCGGCUUACUGGACUGUAACUGACGUUGAGGCUCGAAAGCGUGGGGAGCAAACAGGAUUAGAUACCCCAGUAAC